CCUACGGGGGGCAGCAGUGAGGAAUAUUGGUCAAUGGGCGGGAGCCUGAACCAGCCAAGUCGCGUGAGGGAAGACGGUCCUAUGGAUUGUAAACCUCUUUAGGCGGGGAGCAAUGCCGGGCACGCGUGCCCGGAGGGAGAGGACCCGCAGAAUAAGCAUCGGCUAACUCCGUGCCAGCAGCCGCGGUAAUACGGAGGAUGCGAGCGUUAUCCGGAUUGAUUGGGUUUAAAGGGUGCGUAGGCGGAUUUUUAAGUCAGCGGUAAGAGGUCCGGGCUCAACCCGGGCCGGCCGUUGAAACUGGGGAUCUUGAGUGGGCGAGAAGUAUGCGGAAUGCGUGGUGUAGCGGUGAAAUGCAUAGAUAUCACGCAGAACUCCGAUUGCGAAGGCAGCAUACCGGCGCCCGACUGACGCUGAGGCACGAAAGCGUGGGGAUCGAACAGGAUUAGAUACCCGGGUAGUC
rnacentral:rRNA from 1 species